rnacentral:rRNA from 1 species
UACGAAGGGGGCUAGCGUUGCUCGGAAUCACUGGGCGUAAAGCGCACGUAGGCGGAUUGUUAAGUCAGGGGUGAAAUCCUGGAGCUCAACUCCAGAACUGCCUUUGAUACUGGCGAUCUCGAGUCCGGAGAGGUGAGUGGAACUGCGAGUGUAGAGGUGAAAUUCGUAGAUAUUCGCAAGAACACCAGUGGCGAAGGCGGCUCACUGGCCCGGUACUGACGCUGAGGUGCGAAAGCGUGGGGAGCAAACAGG